UGUGCUAGUUAUUACAAAAGUUUUAUGAAAUUAAAUUAGUUAUGACAAAUAUAAAGACUGUAGUAUAAAAUACAAAUAGUUUUGAAGUUAAAUUUGAAAUUUUGUUUCACGUUUAAAUUUCAAAUAAAGAGUUUUGAAAAUUUAAAAGUAGAUUGUCUUUUUGGAGAUGCUCUUAGUUAACUAUUUUCAUGUUGGCAAAUAUUUUUUUUGCUAUCUCCAUUUGAUUAGCAACUAAUGCACAAAUUAAUCAAAUAGAUUCAAGGCUUUAUUCAUCCUUUUAUCCACAGCGAAAACAAAUCGCUUUGAUAUUAAUUAGCUACUCUUAAAGAAUAAAGACAUUAAUUUAAAAUAAAAGUAUUAAGAUUUUUUUAAAGAGAAAGAAAUAGGAUUUGACUUGGCAUAUUGGCAGCAUUCGACCUUCAUUGUCAUCACAAACUUCUAUGUAUAGAUUUCUGCUUUCAAAAUAAAACUAACUAUACAAAUAAAGUAUACCUCAAUUAACGUUUAGGAAAACAAAUAAAAUUCAUAUGUAACUGAAAAUAAAAAUAUGAUCUACAAUUGAGUUUAAAAAGUCUCUUAAACAUUAAGCUAAAUUAAUAGAAAAUAAAAAUUUAUUAAAUAGACCGUCAUCGUACGGAUAUCUCACGUGCAAGAGUGCGUGCUCUGUUCGCACAUGUGGAUCCCAUGUAAAAGAGUAUAUACGGGGUGUCAGAUCGACACGUGUCAUUUUUCUUGUACCUAAUAAUCAAAAUUUUCAAAUAAUCGAUAUUAGUUCAAGGAAAUAAGUGAGGUCUGACGUUAAUUAGGUAUCUUUUUCUUUGGCUCA
rnacentral:lncRNA from 1 species